rnacentral:rRNA from 1 species
GCCAGACUCCUACGGGAGGCAGCAGUGAGGAAUAUUGGUCAAUGGCCGGAAGGCUGAACCAGCCAAGUCGCGUGAGGGAAUAAGGCCCUAUGGGUCGUAAACCUCUUUUGUCAGGGAGCAAAGGCGUCCACGUGUGGAUGAGAGGAGAGUACCUGAAGAAAAAGCAUCGGCUAACUCCGUGCCAGCAGCCGCGGUAAUACGGAGGAUGCGAGCGUUAUCCGGAUUUAUUGGGUUUAAAGGGUGCGUAGGCGGAGUGUCAAGUCAGCGGUAAAAUUUCGGGGCUCAACCCCGUCGUGCCGUUGAAACUGACGCCCUUGAGUGAGUGAGAAGUAAGCGGAAUGCGUGGUGUAGCGGUGAAAUGCAUAGAUAUCACGCAGAACGCCGAUUGCGAAGGCAGCAUACCGGCGCUCAACUGACGCUCAUGCACGAAAGCGUGGGUAUCGAACAGGAUUAGAUACCCGGGUAC